CCGCCCUUUCCGUGAAGUCACGCCGGUCCUUAGGCUGUCUCUGUCUCCCUAAAAGCGAGUCUCUUCGCUGCUCUCUAACUCCUAGAGCUGGCUCAGAAAGAGUUUCACAUUGCCAUAGGGGAGCUCCUAGGAGAGGCUGCACCCAUUGCACGUAAGAAGCGGUAAAAAUGUACGCGGCCAUCUUACCAGGCUGCCGGAGACAAAGAAAGCUCAGCUUUGAUGUCUGGGCGCCACCAUGUUGGCCACAGGAGGUUUUGGCAUCUGAGAGGCUGAGUUAAGAGCAGAGACGACAUCUCUGUUUAGGGAUCCAGGGGCACUUGCUUCUCCUUGUCCUAAAAUAGCCUUAUCUUUUGGUCUAGCAAAGGGCUUAAUCAUCCGUUUUACGGCACAGUUUUAAACAUGGCCGCCCCCGGUAGGAGUCAAGUGGGCGUCGCCAUCAUACCUCCAAUUACAGCUUUGAGAAACCCAGAAUCCUGUUCACUGGAAGGUUGCCGGGUGGCGGCUGACAGCCUCAAAAGUCGCAAUUGAGUCUGCGCACCGGCCAUUCAGGAUGGGACGACCUUAUACCGCGGUUCUUUCUGGCAAAGGUAAUGACAUACGCAUCUGUGACAGCAUCCCAAGAGUGAGCCUGGUUUCUGGAAAUCCAUUCUGACUCUGUGACAGCGGGGAUGGAUGUGACCUUGCCCGUGGUUAGAAAACAAAUUUACUGAAAGAUUUCCCUUUUCUUCAUCUGGAGGAUAUCAG
rnacentral:lncRNA from 1 species